GACAGAGGAUGCAAACGUUGCUCGGAUUUACUGGGCGUAAAGCGCGCGCAGGCGGUCUUCCAAGUCAGUGGUGAAAGCCCGGAGCUCAACUCCGGAAUUGCCAUUGAAACUGUUAGACUUGAGGAUGAGAGAGGUGAGUGGAAUUCCCAGUGUAGAGGUGAAAUUCGUAGAUAUUGGGAAGAACACCGGUGGCGAAGGCGGCUCACUGGCUCAUUACUGACGCUCAGGCGCGAUAGCGUGGGGAUCAAACAGG
rnacentral:rRNA from 1 species